ACGAACGCUGGCGGCGUGGAUAAGACAUGCAAGUCGAACGAGAGAAUUGCUAGCUUGCUAAUAAUUCUCUAGUGGCGCACGGGUGAGUAACACGUGAGUAACCUGCCCCCGAGAGCGGGAUAGCCCUGGGAAACUGGGAUUAAUACCGCAUAGUAUCGAAAGAUUAAAGCAGCAAUGCGCUUGGGGAUGGGCUCGCGGCCUAUUAGUUAGUUGGUGAGGUAACGGCUCACCAAGGCGAUGACGGGUAGCCGGUCUGAGAGGAUGUCCGGCCACACUGGAACUGAGACACGGUCCAGACACCUACGGGUGGCAGCAGUCGAGAAUCAUUCACAAUGGGGGAAACCCUGAUGGUGCGACGCCGCGUGGGGGAAUGAAGGUCUUCGGAUUGUAAACCCCUGUCAUGUGGGAGCAAAUUAAAAAGAUAGUACCACAAGAGGAAGAGACGGCUAACUCUGUGCCAGCAGCCGCGGUAAUACAGAGGUCUCAAGCGUUGUUCGGAAUCACUGGGCGUAAAGCGUGCGUAGGCUGUUUCGUAAGUCGUGUGUGAAAGGCGCGGGCUCAACCCGCGGACGGCACAUGAUACUGCGAGACUAGAGUAAUGGAGGGGGAACCGGAAUUCUCGGUGUAGCAGUGAAAUGCGUAGAUAUCGAGAGGAACACUCGUGGCGAAGGCGGGUUCCUGGACAUUAACUGACGCUGAGGCACGAAGGCCAGGGGAGCGAAAGGGAUUAGAUACCCCUGUAGUCCUGGCAGUAAACGGUGCACGCUUGGUGUGCGGGGAAUCGACCCCCUGCGUGCCGGAGCUAACGCGUUAAGCGUGCCGCCUGGGGAGUACGGUCGCAAGAUUGAAACUCAAAGAAAUUGACGGGGACCCGCACAAGCGGUGGAGUAUGUGGCUUAAUUCGAUGCAACGCGAAGAACCUUACCUGGGCUUGACAUGUAAUGAACAACAUGUGAAAGCAUGCGACUCUUCGGAGGCGUUACACAGGUGCUGCAUGGCCGUCGUCAGCUCGUGUCGUGAGAUGUUUGGUUAAGUCCAGCAACGAGCGCAACCCCUGUUGCCAGUUACCAGCACGUGAAGGUGGGGACUCUGGCGAGACUGCCCAGAUCAACUGGGAGGAAGGUGGGGACGACGUCAGGUCAGUAUGGCCCUUAUGCCCAGGGCUGCACACGUACUACAAUGCCCAGUACAGAGGGGGCCGAAGCCGCGAGGCGGAGGAAAUCCUAAAAACUGGGCCCAGUUCGGACUGUAGGCUGCAACCCGCCUACACGAAGCCGGAAUCGCUAGUAAUGGCGCAUCAGCUACGGCGCCGUGAAUACGUUCCCGGGUCUUGUACACACCGCCCGUCACAUCAUGGAAGCCGGUCGCACCCGAAGUAUCUGAAGCCAACCGCAAGGAGGCAGGGUCCUAAGGUGAGACUGGUAACUGGGAUG
rnacentral:rRNA from 1 species